CUGGGACAGAACGGACACACUCAUGCAGAGGGACAAGUGCCACAUGCUUCCUCAGAGCCUGCUCUGUGUGCUGGUGGCCUUGGCUUUGUCUGGAUGUAUUGUGGCCCAGGAAGUGACUCAGGUCCAGUCAACAGCAAGCAGGCAGGAGGGGGAAGAAGUCACCCUGGACUGUUCAUAUGAGACAAGUUAUGUCGUAUAUUAUCUUUCUUGGUACAAGCAGCUUCUUAGUGGAGAUAUAAUUUUCCUUACUCGCCAAAUUUCUUCUUCUACUGCAGAAGAGAGGAGUGGCCGCUAUUCUGUAGUUUUCCAGAAAUCACUCAUGUCCAUCAGCCUUGUCAUUUCAGCCUCUCAGCCAGAGGAUUCAGGGAAGUAUUUCUGUGCUCUCAGUGAUUUGACACAGUGUUAGAAGUGACAGCACAAGCUGAACAAAAACUGGGGCUCCCUAAACAGAAGCCCUCUGAGGGAGGGAGCCCAGCUGAGAUGCACACCUGCACAUCCUGAACAAGAAGAUCUCAACUGUGGAUGCUCCGUCUGUGUCUGCAUCAGAACUGUGUUUCUAAGUAAAACCUCAGGGCAUGCAAUUGAGAAAGAAUUAUGGUGAGCAGCUUUCUAUACUACAUUAUCUUAAAUCAGAGUUAAAAAUAGAUCACUGAGAAUAUGUGUAAUAUUUUCUACACUUGGAAAUCUUGCACCACAAUAAUUUGAAGUUUCUCUUUAAUUUGUUAACAGAACAUACCUCAGAGGAGGCAUCUGGAAUAGCAAAGAGCAUAAUUUCCUGGAGAAAGUUACACUCAGAAGGAGAUCCAGCAUGAGUGAAGUAGUCAGAGACAGACUAUAAGGAUUUCUCUCCAUGAAAUACUGGUGGUGACUGAGUUACUCCACCAAUCUUUACCUUUGUAUCUAGUACUGAGCCUGAGGUACUGAAGGUCAGCAGUUGGGGAGGACAGGUAAAUGAGUAUAGCACCUGGCUGUCCUGAGACUUGUGAGAAUUCAGUGAGACUCAGAAAGCCAAUGGAAUCUAGAAGGAUAAACCUCCCUCACCUCCUCAGUCCCUCUGGUUUGGGGGAGCAUCAGAAGAAGUCACGCCAUUUGCCAACGUGAUACACACAGACUCAACCUGAAUAAAGAAAAGCUGCAGAAGUGAGGAGUAGAGUGUCAAUGGUAAAGUCAGCUGGAAUCUAAUGGACAUCAAAUAUUUAUGGGGCCUGAAUCUGCAGGGCUAUAUAAAAAUAAUUAAAUAUAUCACUCCUGUUUCUUAAUUCUUCUACAGUUGCCUUUUCCAUGUCCACCCCCAAAACACAGCAACAUGUUUCCAGAUAUGUUUUUAAAGAUUAUUUUUUAUAUCAUGUGUGUAACCUUUUUGUCAGCAUGUAUAUAUGUGUACUGGGUGAAGUCUGGUGCUCAUUGAGGCCAGAAGGGGAUAUUAGAUUCUGGAAAUUGGAGUUAUCGAAGGAAAGGAUUUACCAUGUGAAUGUCAGGCACUGAAUCUAAGUCCUCUGCUAAAGCAGUGACUGCUUUUAACUAGUGAGUGUAUGUUCCAGGUCCUGUUUCUACGUAAUUUGUAUAAACUGUACAUGAUAAAGGAGGUAAAUAACUUCAAUUCACCAAUUAAAAACCAUAGGCUACCUGGGGGCAUUAACAAAGAAUACUAUCUGUGUCUCCAGGAAACACUUCCUACAGCUAAGUACAUCAAACACUGAAAGUCAAACCAUAGAGAUCAGCAUCGGACGUAAUUGAGAGCUGUAGUCAUGGCACUGCACGUCUCAUAUUUGACAAAGAAGACUUCAGACCACAGCUAGUCAGAGAGCUGAGGAGAGUCACUGCAUAGCCACAGAGGGUAAGUCUUGUGCAUGUGAGUACAUGGAGCAUGGCUCCCCGUUCAACAAAAUAAACUCUAAUUGACAGAAAAUGUCACAUGGGUCUCUAAUCAGUAAUGAUCUUAGACUUCAAUGUUUCCCUGUGACUUUAGCAAGUCUUCCUAAAUUAAAAAACUACAAGGAAACUGCAAAGCAAAAGAUUCUGCAAGCCCACCUCUCUGAGUUUGGCAGGAGAAUCCCAGGCAGGGAAGGGAAGCCAAUGUGCACUCAGAGAACUCACUGAAUGCAAGCAACAGAAUCUUAGCAGAUGUAAAAUUUAUGAUCUUUACUGUAAGAAGCAAAAGCCUGAUAAGUCAACAAGGGACACAAAUUUUAAAGAAUGUUUUAAUGAAUAAAUAAGUGUAAUAUCCUAUGAAUUUGUUUGUAGUUGCCCUUUUUAAAGAUUCCUCAGGAGUAGAAUAGCUGGGUCCUGUUGUUGUAAAAAUAUAAAAAUAAAAAUGUAUUGUUGUCUUUUAACCCCGCUAGGUCUGCACCGCGGUGCCCCAAGAUAUCUGCUAGAUAUCUUGGUGGAAACACAGCCCAACUGCACACUUUCCUACUCUCAAACCCUCACAUAAAAGAACACACAAUACAAUAAUCUUUGACCCAAUUGGUAUGAUAUAAUUGCCCACUUAAACAUACAAAGCCCAGUACUAUCCAUCCCUUGAGAACAUUAAUAACAACCUGUAAAUACACAGAGCAGAAUCUUAACAUCACCUGCCAUCUUGUCCUGCCCUGGCUUCUCCCCUCUCUCCAUUUCUCUUCUCUCUCCCCUAGUCUCCUCCUAUCCCUUCAAACUUCUCUCCAACCCAUCCUUCCUUCUCCUCCAAUGACAGGCCUCCUUCUAUCCUGGACCUGCCCCUCACCAGUACUUUACAAAUUCAAUGGAGAGGUGGCUCUGGUGAAGUCACCUGAGUUCUGAGUCCUUGACUAGGCAGCUGUCCUUGGGGCAGUGGAAUUAGCAUCAAAAUACAGUAACUUCAGGGCAAACCACAACAUUUCACCCUUUUUGUCUAAUUAAAAAAAAACUUUUCUCUUAAAUAUAAGCUGAGCAUAACUACUAUCAUUUUGUAAUUAAGAGCACAAAAUAUAUCUAACACCCAGUCCAACACUAUAUCAGUUAAACAGAACAUUUAGUUAUCCAUUCCAACUUAAGAAAGGCUUAAAAUCUGUUUUAUAUCUUGGCUAGCUUGUAUACUACCUGAUAACUAUCCAAUAAAAUAUGUAUAUUUAGAGUUAAACAGCCUGAUAGGCUAUCAGACUAUAAUGUCUUCAACCCCGUCAGAAAUCUGGGAAUGACCAAAUAUCUAUACACAUAGGAAGCCUAACACGGCUUCUAGAACUGAGAGGUUGUAGAGACAAAUCUCCACUAGCACAGUCCCCUGUUAGCAACUCGUGAGCACAAGUCUUUAGCCUUCUGGCCCAAAAUCAACUGACAGACUCUAGAAAUGCAGAUUUUGAAGGGCUGAUCACCCUGUCUUGGCAGAGUUUAUCAGUCAACUAUUCUGCAUAAUUUGUCCUUUUCUGGACAGCAUAGUCUGCAGAUGAAACAGGCAGUUUUGUGUAGUGGCUGCCUAGCCACAAAGUAUUGUCUCACCUGGAGGUAGAGAUGUUCACAUUCUUCGUUAAAUCCACCAAAGGGGAACUGUUAGGAGCAGAUAUCUCUCAACAAAAGAUAAAUAACUUUAAAUCUCUAAUUUUGUGGAUUUCUGACGUUUUUGAAAACCAUAUAUCUAUAUAAGACAAUCUGGACUAUUGUCUUUAUAUCUUGAUAAUAUCUUGAAAGUUCUCUCAUAACGUCGGUAAUAUGUUUGCUAUUUGGCCCUUAACUCACAUGUGUAAUCAACUCAGAAGUUUGUAAUGACAUCAAUAGAAGGACUGGCUCUAAACCUUGUACUUUUAAACUCUUUAACAAAUAAAUUCUAUAUGAAAACAAAGAUAUGAUUUUAGCUUAGUUAACAAAUAAGAUUACGACUCUAUAACUCAAUCUACCUAAUUCCUCCCUGUUAAAUUACAAUCAUUUCUAAAUUUCUCAUAAAAACAACUUUAGAAUAACCACUUGCAGUCCCCCCAAAGUCCAGGGAAUUGGGGUGAUGACCCCUCCAUAACUUCUUCAAGCUGUACAGGGGCGUUGAGAUAUCCUUGGGGGUAGGGGGUAGGAAGAAUGAAGCAAAUGCUGUAGCAGGAUGUGUCCUGACUGGACCCAGCUGAAAGUCCUUGAGACCAGGAUUCCAAGUAGGCACACUCUGUAAAAUAGAACUCUCAAGAAAAAGUUUAGAAUUGAGAUAUCUUUUUGUUUGAUUCUCCUAAAUAAAUUUUUCAGGCGAUCUACCUCUAUCAAAUCUGAUCAGUAUGACUCUGUGAGGUUUCCAGAGCCUAAUCACAUUUUUUCAAAGCACAAAGACAAAAUCUUUCUCCCAAAAUACUGUGUUCCUUAUUCUGAAACCAGAAAAGCUUGUAUCUUGCACUCUCUCCCAGAGUAAUAAUAUAACCAUAAAACUCAAAGUCACACCCAUCAUGAAUAUUAGACAAUUUUUUAAAAAAGGAAGUAAGCUAAACAAUGAGCCUGAUAGGCUUUUGUACUCUGUGAUAUCGGGAAAUUAACCCAAAAUUCCUGUGGAGCCCACGUUAAGAGAAUCCGAGCUUCCUGUGGUGGGAGAUAUCAAAAGUAACCACAAACCCUCGCUAGCCAGCAUCAACGAGCCAUAUGGCCUUUAGUGGUGUAAUUCAUAAAACAAACCAAAUACUUUUUAUCAAUUCCAGUAUCAAUAAGCAAUGUAUCAAACCAGGACUUUAGCCCAAAAUAUCUCAAUCUGUUAAGCUCUCUACCCGGAGCCACAGAUUUUUCUUUAACCUUAAUAACUUCUAUUAUAUGCCUGCAUUCACUCUCCUUGGUGUUACAGACAAUUCAUC
rnacentral:lncRNA from 1 species